GACGGAGGAUGCAAGUGUUAUCCGGAAUCACUGGGCGUAAAGCGUCUGUAGGUGGUUCGAAAAGUCCACUGUUAAAAAUUGAGGCUUAACUUCAAAGAUGCCGUGGAAACUUUCAAACUAGAGUAUGGUAGGGGUAGAGGGAAUUUCCAGUGGAGCGGUGAAAUGCGUAGAUAUUGGAAAGACCACCGAUGGCGAAGGCGCUCUACUGGGCCAUUACUGACACUGAGAGACGAAAGCUAGGGGAGCAAAUGGG
rnacentral:rRNA from 1 species